rnacentral:rRNA from 1 species
AGAGUUUGAUCCUGGCUCAGGAUGAACGCUAGCUACAGGCUUAACACAUGCAAGUCGAGGGAACGAUGCGGAAGCUUGCUUCUGCAGGCGUCGACCGGCGCACGGGUGAGUAACGCGUAUCCAACCUGCCCCGAGGUAGGGAAUAAUCCGUAGAAAUGCGGUCUAAUACCUUAUGUGCUCCGAAGAGGACAUCUGAUUUGGAGUAAAGAGUUUAUCGCCUUGGGAUGGGGAUGCGUCUGAUUAGAUUGUUGGCGGGGCAACGGCCCACCAAGUCACCGAUCAGUAGGGGUUCUGAGAGGAAAGUCCCCCACAUUGGAACUGAGACACGGUCCAAACUCCUACGGGAGGCAGCAGUGAGGAAUAUUGGUCAAUGGAUGAGAAUCUGAACCAGCCAAGUAGCGUGCAGGACGACGGCCCUAUGGGUUGUAAACUGCUUUGUACGGGAUAAAGGAGCUUACGUGUAAGUUUGCAGGUACCGUACGAAUAAGGACCGGCUAAUUCCGUGCC